rnacentral:rRNA from 1 species
CAGCAGCCGCGGUAAUACGAAGGGGGCUAGCGAUGUUCGGAAUUACUGGGCGUAAAGGGCGCGUAGGCGGCCAUUCAAGUUAGAUGUGAAAGCCCCGGGCCCAACCUGGGAAUGGCAAUGGAUACUGGCGAGCUAGAGCGUGUCAGAGGAUGGUGGAAUUCCCGGUGUAGCGGUGAAAUGCGUAGAGAUCGGGAGGAACAUCAGUGGCGAAGGCAGCCCCCUGGGCCAAUACUGACGCUCAUGCACGAAAGCGUGGGGAGCAAACAGGAUUAGAUACCCGCGUAGUCCCUGUCUCUUAUAC